AACCGCCGUAUACCGAACGGUACGUACGGUGGUGUGAGAGGUCGGAAGGCGAAAUAAUCGCCUUCCUCCUACUCGAU
rnacentral:misc_RNA from 1 species